AAUGUUACGCAUCAUCCACACGGAUUUGUAGGAAGGGGAGAAUUUGUCAUAGCUGUCACAUUCUAUCAGAAGUAAACAGUUAAUUUACUCAAGUUAUAUUCCCCAUUGCAUCAUGAGGAAGGGCGACAUGGUGUGUCGUCAGCGUAUUCUCAAAGACAGUCAUACAUUUCAAAAUUUGACUAUCAGAAAAGACUAUAGCUUUGCAGUAGUCUCCAAAGGCCUUUAUGUUAUUAACAGAAUACUCUCUAGCAAUAGUGAGAAGCUAGAAUCUCUAACUUGUUAUGUUAUUUCCAAUCUAAAACUCUAAAAUUCCAACUGAACCUGAUUCCAUCAAAAGAUAUUUCCCAAUAUUCCUGAUCCAAGCUCCACUGAUAGUGGCUAGCAGAAAUAUAUAAAUUAGCUACAAACCAAACCAAAUCAUCUCAAGACAAAAGCCAACACAAACCUUGUUUGUUCGAAACCUACAUUCUGAUACACUCAUGUAAUUCCAUUCUGAUUUCGAAAUAUUGAUUCCACCGGACAAAAAAUUGUCAAACAAGUGAGAAUCGACAAAGCAUAAAUUCGCAAACCAGGGGAAGAAUCAACAGAUUCAGUCUUACAAAUUUAGUUAUCCGGCCAAAAUUAGAUCACAAAUAGGAACAUCCUUCAAAAAAAAAUUAGAUAGAGAGCAAAUCAGACCUUGCGAAUGUAGCCAUAGUAGCUCUCCUUCUCAAACAAAUGACAGAGUUUAUAUUUUGAAGGAGGAGGAUGAUCUAAUUCUAAGAGUUACAAGAGCUCGUACAUUCAAUUUGGUUUUUAUAAAGUCCCACAUCGCUAGUUUAAGAAACACUCGCUCUACCACGUUUGAUAUAAAACACACUUCGUAUCCAUAUCGCAA